rnacentral:misc_RNA from 1 species
UUUUUUAUUGAAACAAAUCACACUAUAUUAUAUAAAAUUUACAAUAAUUGUAUUUUACAAAUUCUGCAGCAGAUGAGCUGAAAAAUCCUGUAAUUCUGAAGGCUAAUAAAAGCUCGGCAUGCAUUGAAAAAGGGGGGAUCUGCCGCUUGAGAACAGUUUUACAGACUUUUACAACCAAACCUGAACAGGAAAAUAGUGAUGGGAUACCAAAGUGGCUAAUACAUAAAGCUUGUACUAGCCACUUUGGUAUAUUCUAAAUUACAUUUGCCAAAGCUGUAAAUUUUACAAUGAUAUUUAAGUUUCAACAUCCAGCUUGCUUCCACAAAUGAGAUUGAUUGUAAGUGUCACCACUCACCAGUAAAGGCAAAUUCCCCACCUUUUGCAUUGUCAUCACUCAUGAACUCUUUAAAUAGCAGCCAGAGAGGUCUUGCACACUCAAACUAAUUGCAGAAUAAUCAGCUGUGUUAUACACACGGAUGGGGAUCAACAUAAAGGUCGCCAACACUAUCAUUUUCAUUUAUCCUGUUUCUACCACUACCUUUUAGACUCAGAAUCAUGGCCCCUUCGAAAUGAUUCCACUCGAUNNNNNNNNNNNGUCGAGCUGUUCUCCAUGAGAGAGAAUUAGUUGAUUUAAGCAACAAGCCCAGAGCUGAGGAGCAUGUUGCCCUAACAACUGCAUCUGCUGACCGACUUAUCUUCCCCACCAGCAUCCCAAACACCUUUGUGUAGUAUAGGGCUAAAAUGCGCUGAUCAUCUGAAAGUGAUAGCAUGCUGCUUGCCAAAUAAAUAGCAUUUGCCUGUAUUAUUGGCCAAGGUGCAUCCAACGCCUGUAUCGUUGAUACCAUGUAAGUGUCUACUCUGGAAGGAAGAUGCUGGGCAAUCUGCCUAGUGAAGUCUCUAAGAAAGUCCUCAUAGUCAUUUCGAUGAUCAGAAGUGAAAUACUGCAAAUUCAAUAAUGUAGCUAACCCUUCCAUCUCCAUCAAGGGGGUAAUACGUUUGAGAGUGUUUCGGCAAGCUUGUCGCACACUAAUAUCUUCAUCAUGAAGGUGCAAAAUCAAGCGAGGAAUAGCAGCAUGUAUCUGUUCAAGAAAUAUUUCAUGAUGUGCCCCAACUCCAUAGCUGCUUAGUGUUCCAAAUGCAGCAAAGGCAGUGGAUCGUAUCUUCGUGUUCAAGCAUAUUUGAAGAUUGCGAAGCCGGACAGAAAGAUUAAGCAAAAUGGGCUCUACUGCAUCACUGGGUGAUGACUCAAGUACCGUCAGUAAGCAUGAAACAGCAGUUAAUUGCACUGAUUCAUCUAAAUCAUCCAGCAAUGCUACUAUCACACCCAAAAUUUGAGUUGUGUACUGAUAAAUAUGAAUAGAUGGUAUCUGCACUAGCCCUCUUAAACAAAGGCAUCUAACAGUUGGAGACUCAUCUGAUACAUGUCGACAUAAUGCUUCAACCAUCUGCUCCAAUAAGGAACUAAAUCCACCACUGCAUCAUCAAAAAACUAGAGAAUUAAGGCAAUUAAUAGUAAG